GUGCUACAAAGAAGUAGCCACCUAGCCAUCAGUGAAAAGUGAUAGCUCGGGUUCGUCGGACCGUGCGUCGUUGUGUGUGUGGGCUUUUUUUUCUAGUUCCCUCGCAUACGGCAUUCAGGAUGGCGGUGCUACAAAGAAGUAGUCACCUAGCCAUCAGUGAGUGAAAAGUGAUAGCUCGGGUUCGUCGGAUCGCGCGUCAUCGUGUGGUCGUGGUGGGCUUUUUUAUCUUGUGAGACUGUUCCUUGCUGCUUCUUUGUUAAUUUCUUUCUGGAUGUCUCUCUUUUCAUUAUUUUAUUUAUUCAUUAUGCACGCAGAAAAAUUGAUUGUUCGUUCAGCAAAAUGUUGGGUCAAACUUGACAAACCUGAUUGUCAUCUGAGGGCUAACAAACAUUUUUGUUGAAUUCAACCCAAAAUGUUUGUUGCAUCUACAAUUAUGAUUGUAGCUGUCAUUUUUGGACAUGAUUGUUAUCUUUACAAACAAAUUGUUCGAUCGACAAAUCUGUUUGUUAAUAUAACCAUCUUCUGACAAACAUGUUUGUUAUUUUGACAUUUGCAGCUUAGGUUUUUCUUUGCUUUUUUUUGUUUAUAAAAACGAAUAAAUCUAUAUUUUUUGCAUUUAUUUACCGAGCUUUUCAUCAUAUGCAUAACAUAAUCUCCUGAGACACGUUUAACAUUGAUUAAGAAUACGCAUAAAAAUUCGCCAGUUUCUUCCCCGUUGAAUAGACCAUUCCCGUCAAAAAUUUUUAUGUUCUCUACGGCUUUCUGACAAUUUAUUGAGUAAACUUUCCCAAAGAACCCAUAUGUUUUAAAGCUUCCAACUAUUGAAAAACAGCCAAAACAGUGCGAAGCUCCAUUUUACACCACUUUCCCUUUUUAAUUUAGAUAUGGUGAAAGUGCGGUUUAUCCCGUCCGCCCCCCUUUGACAUUUUGCAUUUGAGGUGAGUUUUCCAUCAGCUGAUGACUGUCAAUAGUGUCAAUUUUGUUUUGUUUGGGUGCAAGCGAUUCCGGCGAUUACGUGAGCACCUGAAGUGGCAGAAGUUUUUACAGGACGAUGGAUUCCUCCGGUACGUACACGGUCCAGUACCGCGAACGGAAUAAGAAUAUCCGUCGGCAAGAGGAAGAAGCUAAGGAAUCGAACAGGCAGCGGUAAUUGUAGGAGGAAUGUGAAUUGACGCAACUGCACGACUUCAUCCAUCGGCAGACCAACGAGGAAAAUGUUUGCCAAUAGUUGCGGGAAUGCAGCGAGAAUUUGAAUCAAACUGAGAGCCUACGUGGACAAAACAAUUUUCGCACAGACGGUAGAUCCCGAAAUCCAAGCAACAGCAACGGCUCGAUAAUUCGGAAUGCAUCUAAUAGGGUAAGGGAGGAAGAAAUGCAAUCUGCGGACGGAAUGUUGGGUCAGAUGAAGACAUAAUAUCAAAAAACACAUCAUAUGCGCGGAGCUCCGCCGGGAGUAACAAAAUCUUGUCCGAGAUCAGACGACGGCUUCAAAGGGAACGAUUUGUCGAGAUUCAUCAGAAAUCAGAACUCCAUAAGCAAACGUGGAAUAAUGUGAAUGACCUGCUGACAACACCGGUCAGAAACGGAGGAUACUUAGUACGGCAGCAGCAGCAGUAAUGACUUGCAUUUUUCGCCCAGUUCCGGAGGAUGGUUUUUGUAGAAUUGCGUCGGCUGGAACAACCGAGCCAGUAUUUGGAGCACAUGCAGGAUAUGCUCGCACAUCAGUGCAUUUUUCCAAUUCAGCGACGAAUACAUUGCCUUUCCUGGCGGAAGCUGCAGCUCAACCAAGUUGAGUUGAAAGCAUUCAGUCAUCUGCGUUUCUAUCCAAAUUUCCACCCACCCAUCGUGCUGAUUGCUCUCGCCAUAUGAACCACCCUGCUGGGACUACAUGUGAACCCUCAUGAUCAGCACAUGCACCCUGGAGAAUAUUUGGAACCGUUUGCAAGCUGCAAUGUAUCUAGCUGAUUAAUGAAUGGGUCCAAGAACGCCUGCAUUGGUACAUCGAGACGGCCUUGGCCGUUUCCGGCAACUGAAGAUGCGCAAGGGUCACCUGAAUCAUUAUCACCAUUAGGACAUACCAAACCAGUCUGUGCAGAUCAUUUGAUCCUUUUGGAAACAACACACGCAACGUGCAGCGACACGCAGAGCAUCGGUGAUUGAAAUUUCUUUAUAUUUCUUUUAUUUAGAAACUGGAACUGCUCCUUUUUGUUGAAUUUUGUUUUAUAUUCAAGAUUAUGUUCACUUUUAUCCAUCUUUAAAGCAGCGGCAACUACCUAUACCUAUGUAUUGCAACUAUGUACAAUAUUUUUUUACCUGCUUUAUUUGUUUAUUUGAAAUUAGUUUGUCGCUAUAAAAAAUCGGUUGAUUUCACCUAGAAUUUAAGUGUUUUUACAUUUUAUUUCUCUGCUUGGGAUUACUAACAGUACUGGGUAUUUGCUUGGCCUUGAACAAUAUCAAUUCAGUAGCUGUUUUAAUAUGAAUGACGAUAUUUGAAUACGUCAUGAAUAUCGGCACAAUUUUUAAUAAACUGAUGAUUUGAUACAUAUUAGUAUAAUCAAAUAUUAGAUUCACAAGUUCGCACAUUACAUCAUGGGUAUAUAGGUUCAUUUCCUAUUUGUUUUACAAACCCCAGAACCAUUAAUAUUGUGAUCACGCACUAAUUUCAACAAAAGACAUUGAAGCCCCUAGGUCUGGUGGCGAGACAAAUUUAGUAACACUAUCGGGUCAACUACCCGAUAGGCGCCGUCCACAAAUUACGUAAUGCUCUAGGGGAAGGGGGGAGUAUAGCCAAGCGUUACGGCCCAUACAAAAAUUGUCGGGGUUUCAUACAAAAAAGCGUUACGGAGGGGGGAGGAGGUUUCGAAAAAGUUCGAUUUUAGCGUUACGUAAUAUAUGGACGCUGCCAUAGUGUUACUAACUUCAGAGUCCAUUUUCUCAAUGCCUACUUUAUACAGAUGGGACUGACUUGCGAUUCAAGGCAGAUCAGCUGUCUUAAAAUAAGGUUUUGGGAAUCGAAAUAACAACGUAGUGGGUAUCUAGGGUAUUGUACCAUUUGGGCAGGUGUAUCUAUUUUGGGCACUUGCCGCUAUAACUAAGUCAAUUUCAUUUCAUUUCGAUUGAUUUGAAUUUUUGUACAGAGUUAGAUACUGUACGUGCCUAACUCUGUACAAAAUUUCAAAUCAAUCGGUUUGAAAUUGACUUAGUUAUAUUGACGUUAAAAUUGCACAUUGAUUGCGAAAAGCCUGAAGAUGCAGAAAAUAACGUAGAAUUUCAAUGGAAUCGUAAGGUAUACCUUAUUAUAAUAUUCAGUUUGAUUAAACUAAAGUAGACGCAUGUGAAUUUCUCGUAGUUAAAUUGUCUUUAUAGUAUUAUUAUAUAAUGUCAAAAAUUGCGUCGACUUCAACCGAUCAACCUAUAUUUGAUGAAUAAGUUAUUCCGUCUAAUGUAACACAAACUUGGUAUGCGUUGCUGUGCGGUAAUUUGGGGGUUCCAUAUUACCUCAUUAGCCAAAUUGCUCCGACUGUCCCUAUAUACAUAUUUAAAGCAAAACUACUACUAUUUUCAACUAGGCGAACUUAUGCUAUUUUCGGCUGUUUGUUCUGCUCCGUAAAAAGGUGCUUUCUAGAAUCUGUAACUUAAAGUUUACCUCAAAACCUUCCCUAAUAAACUGAGCUAUAGGCGAAGUUUUAGUCGAAUGUUGGCGUUCUAGUUUUUACUCUAGAAGAACUGUCAAACAACUUUCAAAUUAUAGCUAAGAACACGUGGGAAUUUCUGGAGGAAUUUCAAUAAGAUGUCCUUGUAAAAUUCCUGGCAUACAUUUUACUAGAUUUGCUGGCUAGUAUAACUGCAUUUCUUAGGGUCUGCUGACAUAUGGAUCAUAUCCCUUAAGGACGUGGUUGGCUUUAUGAAGCUCGGGGCAAAAUCGAUCACUUUUAAAAACUAUUUGUAUGAAAGCAUGUUGUUCGUUAUUUUAUGAGUUUUUUAUCGACUUUUAGCAAAGUAAACUAAUGUAUUGAUGAGUAGGGGAUGAAAAUAAACCAAUACGAUUUGUAUUUACAAAGUUAUAAUGAUCCAUCCUUAUUAUUCGACUGAACAUUUCGUUAGGAAGCCAUUUAUUGUGGGAUUGUGUUGCUCAUUGCAGGCUCUCUGUUUAUUUCAACUACUUCUAACAUAUGUACAAACAGACAAGAUGGUUCACCAAAAUCAAAUCUGGAGACCACAUUCUCGGUCUGCAACCUCCGCACGAACGGAUCCAGGACUUCGAGGUACUUCAACCUCAAUGGAAUCAAAACAAUCUGGAUGUUCUCCUGAUUCUCGAUGUGCAAAAUAAGAUGACUCUCGAUAAUUCCACCUCAAGGUUUCGGCCCUGGAACCGCCAACUUCACUUUGUUCGCUGGGAAGUUCUGCAAGGUAAGUAUUCGCCAAGAACAGCUGAGGAGAACAUCCGUUCACUUUGCCAAGAUCCGGUCCAAUGCUUCCGUUGUUCUUUCCCUGUAAUUUCCGCCGAAUCUCCAUCCGGAAUCCCCAUUAUAUUAAAAGAAAUAUUGCACUUUGCGCAGUUAAAAGUGCGACGAGGAAAUGCGGAAUCUCUAAUAAAAGUGCGAUUUGGUGUCAGAUCGUUUAGGUGUCUUCACCGCACUUAUUCAUUAGCUCAUGAUGAAUAAGUGCGGUGAAGACACCGGAACGAUUUGAUGCAAUAUCGCAUUUUUAUUUAACACUAUUUAGCUGGCAAACGUCGUACUGCCUGUCUACUGUGUUUUUUGACGUACAGCCCCAUAGGGACGUCCCGGCCCCAAAAAUACUCACAUACAAAAUGUCACACCGAUCGGUCCAGUAGUUUCCGAAUCCAACGGUCAGACAGACAGAAAUUCAUUUAGAUUCCGCCUCGGAUUCCGCACUCUGUCGCAGCAAUGCAAUAAACUAUACAAUCUGCUGGUUGAUUAGCGGCCGGGAGAGAACCCACGAAAAUCAUCUUUCCCAUCGGAUGUCACGGGUAAAUAUCAACGUUUGAUGGGAAUUUUGGCAAAGUAAACGGGUGUUCGGCGCUAAGCUCCAGCUGUUUCUGACGGAUGUCAACUCACCGGGUAGAACUUGCAGGCAAAAGAGGUGAAAUUUGCGAUCCCAGGACCGAAACCUUGAUGCGAAGACAUCUCCUUCACUUCCGGUACCACACUUGGAAUACACAGGGGAUCCGGAACGGCCUGCAGUUUCAAAUCAACCGGAAGUUGCUCGGAUACGUUAUCGUUUCGUUCUAUUCUAUCUUCGAUCAACUGCUCGCCCAAUUUUCUUCUUCGGAACCCGCGGAUCAACACUGGCACCAGCAGCUUGAACCAUGGCAGCAGCCACUGCGGCAGUUUCGGCUUUUUACUUCCCGUCUACAACCCGGGAGCUGAUAUCCGCUCCCGCAUGUAUGUGUUCAAGGCUGGACCUUCUAGCCCUGCGUGUAGCUGAUCCGGCUGAUGUCCGUGAUGCGCUUCUGUGCUUGUGACGACGACCGCUGGUUUAAUUCGCGCACAGCGCAAGUUAUAUUUUUUUUCCAUUUGGCAAAGAUCUUUAUCAAUCCAGUCAGUGGUUGAGAUGGUCGCGUUGACUAAUCCGUGGGAUCUCUUCGCCGCCGAUCUUUUGCUGACCCUUCUGGAUGUUCUGGAUGGAAUCGGAAUCGUUCGAAUCGUUUGAUUAGUUUGACGUUUCCGAGUGUAAACAAACAUGACAGCAUAGGGCUCCCAUAUGUUUCUCAUUUUCUGAGAGGUGAAAAAAAAGUUCACCAUGUACAGGGUUACCAAAAACUACUUCGCAUGGUGAUUUUAUUUGAAAAUGUGGUGAAAUUCACAGUUUUUGAAAAUUUGUAAGAAAAUCAGGAGUACAUAUAAAACAAAUCUGAAAACGGCAAUAGUCAUCAAAAGCAAUUGUCUUUCGAAGAAAAAUAAGAAACAUAGGGGUUAGGUCAGACGGGAAUGGUCUAUUACCGUCAACAGCUGCGUUGAAGGCGGCAUCCACACUAGGUUCUGUUGGGAAGACUGGAUGGAAUAUGAAUUCCUGACAGGAUUCGAAACUGAAAGCGGGAAAUAGAUAAUAUAGAUAUUAUAUUGAAAUGACGUAGCUACGGUAAUUACCAUGUGGAAUUAUGCUGAUUUUCAUCCUCUGAAAGUGGAACCGGGUUCAAUUUUAUUUUCGCCGUAAGUCCGUAAAGCAGUGCGCAACCAUUUUCUAUGAAAUAUAAAUUGUAUCAUAGAUUAAAUUUCUUUGAAACCAAGGUUUACUUCAGUAAGAUAUUCGCACAUAUUUCGUUUAUUUUCUUAAAUUUGGCAGUAAGUCACAAUUACAUUCGGACAUUGUUUCUUGUUUACUCCGGCAAAACAAUACACUGUUAAAUUAAAAAAAAAACCUUAACCAACAACAUGAUUAUUGAAUCGUCCAAUAUAUUUGUCAUUGCAACAAAAACUGAUUGUUGGUACGACAAAACCUGAUAAACGGUUCAACAAACCGAAGGGUUUGAAUUCAACAAUUCAUUUUGUUGAAUCGACUCAACCAAAUUUCUGUGCGUGUGUGUAUAUGUAUCUUUUGAACAUUUUGAUCAAAUUUGUAUAGUUCGUCACCAUGAGUGUCGACUUGUUUCUUGUUGUCAAUGUCGAAAGUUGCAUCUUUGCAUUUGUGUAUAUUUCUCAUAUGAGUCCGUCGUGGUUCGUCGUUGCAUCGCGUCGUCGUGCUGUGUGCGUGCUUUUUUUUUCUCUCUUAUUUACUGGCUCAGACCUUUUGAUCCAUAAAGCCAAUGCGUGCUUUUAGAGGAAAAAAAAUAGUUUUCGUGCGAGUCGGUUGUGUGAUGCCAGCAGCGGAUGACAUUUCAGUCCGUCUUGGUUCGUCGUUGCAUCGCGUCGUCGUCCUGUGUGCGUGCUUAUCUUCGUACGAGGCGGUUUAGUUUGUUUUUGCAGGCAAAGUGAAAGUGCCGCUUUUUUCAUUCGGAUCGGCCGCGUCGUCGUCGACAAUUUGAAUGUGCACAUCGUCGUACCCGUGUGUUGUUGUAGCGGUUCAGUGUGAUUUCGAGGCCAGUUAGUGGAAGAUGCUGCAGCAUUUAUGCACUGGACAUUUCGAAGGAUGUUUAUUGGUGAGCUCGUUCCAUUUUAUCAUAAUAAUUAAUGCUAAAGGAUGUAUAAAAUUCUGCUCUGGUUUUUGUGUAUUUAUCUAACAAAUAUUGAAAAGUUCGUCACGUCAUGUGUCGGCGCUAGUUCCAAAUGCACAUUUAGUAGAUAAUAAAUAUUUUUCUUUCAUUUUUUGCAUGUACACAAAAAUUUGAAUGGUUCGUCAUCUUCGGUGUCGACAUUUGUAAUAUUUUAGUCUAAAUGAAUAAAUGUUUUGACUCAAAUAAAGGUUGCAUGAAUUUCUGGAAAAAAGAGAGGGUCGGUAAAAGAUAGACGGUGAACCAUGCGGUAAGAUGUUUCUGAUUUAUUUAUAACGUGUUAUAUUGUUAAUACUUGUGAAUUGAUCGCGUUUAGCAUUGUCUCGCGCGGAAACGCAAACUAAAGAUGCGUCGGUGUUUAGCAUUGUAUUCUCCUUAGUUGCGAAUGAAUAACUUAUGUAAGGUGAGUUUUGAGGCACAAUAGAUCGCGUUCGUCGUCCACGGUUUAGAAGGGUAUUUCUUCUUGAGCGCAUUAUUAAUCGCGAAUCAAAACAUGACAUUCGUUUACCACGGUGAAAUCCUCAACAUAUCUCCAUUUCCCCUGUCCAAACUCCUAGUGAUUUCUCGUAGUAACGUAGAGAAUUCCUCGGUUAUUGGCCUAAGCGAGAAUCACGUCAUCACUUCCUUCCCUAUCCUCAAUUGACCUGCAUUCGGACGCGGCCGGCGCUGGUAUUGCUUAUUGAAAAGUAUUGGGAUUCCAGCAUUUACACAAUGAAGAGAAAGCUAGUCCCAAGCACCAUUUGUUUGUUCAUUAUGUAAAUGCAGUUGUCCUUGCAAUAACAGAGGAGCAACCGCGGGCGGUCAAUCAUGCUCAUGCUCAUGAAAUGAAAGCGUGGGUAUUAUGAUUUCUUGCCUAAUUUGAUGCUGUUUGAUCAAAACUUUAGAUAACUAUGUUGUUUAUGUUGAAAGAAAUGGAGAAAACAACAACACUGUUGUCCAAAGUUUUGCUCAAACAGCAUCAAAUUAGGCAAGGAAUCAUAAAUACCCACGCUUUUUGCACCAUUUGAUUGCAGAAGCGGAGAAUUGACCUUCUCACCAUACUAAAAUUCAGCUCAUCACUACAAAAUCUAGUACUUCACCGUGUAAUAAUUUCGUGUCAUCUUCAAAAAGCUUUUGCUGAAGAAGAAGAAAGCAGAGAUGCAUUUUGAACGCUCAUGAUCUGUGAGCGUGCCGGCAGAGGUAUAAUGUUUUGAGAAGAUCAUAUAUGCCUGGGGCCAUUAUAAGCCUGGGUCGAAUAAAGUGUAACGGUUGCUGAUCAUCAAUCGCAGUGUGCGCACAUGCUAAGAAGUGUACCGCAAAAAGGGGCCGGAUCACAACGUCCGAGGGCAUACUGUCCCGGUCGUUAAGUCGCGUUUUUUUUUGCGAAAUAACGUCCAAAAGUUUGGAUGCGUCAUAAUAUCCUAUGUACCUUUUUUCCUUGGACUUCGUGGUGUAUUUGUAUGCCCGGACGUUAUGCCCCGGAAAAUGCGCCAAAGAAUCCCUGGGACAUUAUGGCCUCGGGCGUUAUGAUACUGCGUCCCGCAAAAAUACAAGUAACGCUAAUGCCAACGCCAAUCGAACUACACAUAAUUCUCAAUACAUACUACGAAUGAAACUCAGGCAGUAUCGUGCAGUACUUUCUUUAUUCAACUGAUGCCUAUGUACAAUGAAACUACCGUGAUUCGGAAAAAAUCUAGAUAAUACUGGAAAAUAUUUAUUCAAAGUGGAGAUUCUGGAUUCGAAAUAAAACUUUUUACCAACUCAGAAGAAUACCAAAGACAUGCACACUACAAUUUAAAAGUCGCGAUAAAAUACUGAUCGAUCACGGUGUAUAGCUAUUAUAAAAAUGGGAUUGCAAAAGGAUAAAGAAAUUUAUUCCACAUCUUCAUCCGCAUCGAGGAUCUGCUGGAAGGAGAACGGUUGGAAGACA